UACGAAGGGGGCUAGCGUUGUUCGGAAUUACUGGGCGUAAAGGGCGCGUAGGCGGGGAGGUAAGUCGGGUGUGAAAUCCCUCGGCCCAACUGAGGAACUGCGCCCGAGACUGCUUCUCUUGAGUCCCGGAGAGGAAGAUGGAAUUCCCGGUGUAGCGGUGAAAUGUGUAGAGAUCGGGAGGAACACCGGUGGCGAAGGCGGUCUUCUGGACGGUGACUGACGCUGAGGCGCGAAAGCGUGGGGAGCAAACGGG
rnacentral:rRNA from 1 species